CCCAGCAGAGAGCUGUGUGUGCACCUCAGGACGUCCACGUGCUUCGUCCCAGCCUGCAGAGGUGCUCCAUAAUCCCCUUGGAGCGUGACUGGAAUCUCUCCUGAGCUGGGGAAGGGUUUACCUGCAAGGCUCCAGAUUGGAUGGAUUUUGUUCCUAACCCAGCACGUUGCCUGCCUGCAGUCCUCUCCCCUGGAGCAUCCCUGAGCCACCGCAGAAGAGUGAGCUCCAUCCUGCUGUGGCCAGGGCCUGUCUGCAGCUGAGCAGCCUCCUUGCCCGUCAUUAGUGGCCCAAGAUGUGGAAAAGCUCUGCCUGGCCAGCGAGGGCUCGUGCUGGCAAAGCUCUGGCCCAGGCUGUGGGCAAGUAGAGCAUCCCUGGAGCUGCUUGGAAACACAGUGAGGGAAGAUCCAUCCAGGUGCUGUUAUCCCAGCGUGGUGCACGAGUGCUGCAGCACUGCCAGCAGCAGCAGAAGUGCUCUGAAAAACCCACCCGAGGGUUAAAACAAGGAACACCAGGAGAUGCAGCUGUGCUGGGCCUCCAGAGCUGCUCUGUGCCGUGCUCAAGCCUCCUCCAGACCUGUCCCUGUGCCGGGCGUGCCACCAGCCAGCCCUGCCCAGAGCAGCUCCCUGGGGGCUGUGAUGGAGCAGAGCUCUGUGCUGAACACCCUUUCCCAGGCUGGCCAGGCAGCUCCUCACAGUCCCCAGAAGUAAAUCCUGGCAGCAGAGUCCCCACUGCCAGCCGGCUCUAUCCA